AGAGUUUGAUCCUGGCUCAGGACGAACGCUGGCGGCGCGCCUAACACAUGCAAGUCGAACGGAAUGAGGAGCUUGCUUUUCAUUCAGUGGCGAACGGGUGAGUAACGCGUGAGUAACCUGCCCCAGAGUGGGGGACAACAGUUGGAAACGACUGCUAAUACCGCAUAAGCCCACAGUACCGCAUGGUACAGAGGGAAAAGGAGCAAUUUGCUUUGGGAUGGACUCGCGUCUGAUUAGAUAGUUGGUGAGGUAACGGCCCACCAAGUCGACGAUCAGUAGCCGGACUGAGAGGUUGAUCGGCCACAUUGGGACUGAGAUACGGCCCAGACUCCUACGGGAGGCAGCAGUGGGGAAUAUUGCACAAUGGGGGAAACCCUGAUGCAGCGACGCCGCGUGGAGGAAGAAGGUCUUCGGAUUGUAAACUCCUGUUGUUAGGGACGAUAAUGACGGUACCUAACAAGGAAGCCACGGCUAACUACGUGCCAGCAGCCGCGGUAAAACGUAGGUGGCAAGCGUUGUCCGGAAUUACUGGGUGUAAAGGGAGCGCAGGCGGAACGACAAGUUGGAAGUGAAACCCACAGGCUUAACCUGUGGCCUGCUUCCAAAACUGCCGUUCUUGAGUAGUGUAGAGGUAGGCGGAAUUCCCGGUGUAGCGGUGGAAUGCGUAGAUAUCGGGAGGAAUACCAGUGGCGAAGGCGGCCUACUGGGCACCAACUGACGCUGAGGCUCGAAAGUAUGGGUAGCAAACAGGAUUAGAUACCCUGGUAGUCCAUACCGUAAACGAUGAUUACUAGGUGUUGGAGGAUUGACCCCUUCAAUGCCGCAGUUAACACAAUAAGUAAUCCACCUGGGGAGUACGACCGCAAGGUUGAAACUCAAAGGAAUUGACGGGGGCCCGCACAAGCAGUGGAGUAUGUGGUUUAAUUCGAAGCAACGCGAAGAACCUUACCAGGUCUUGACAUCCGAUGACGACUUAAGAGAUUAAGUUUUCCUUCGGGACAUCGAGACAGGUGGUGCAUGGUUGUCGUCAGCUCGUGUCGUGAGAUGUUGGGUUAAGUCCCGCAACGAGCGCAACCCUUACUGUCAGUUACUACGCAAGAGGACUCUGGCAGGACUGCCGUUGACAAAACGGAGGAAGGUGGGGAUGACGUCAAAUCAUCAUGCCCUUUAUGACCUGGGCUACACACGUACUACAAUGGCGUUAAACAAAGAGAAGCGAAACCGCGAGGUAGAGCAAAACUCAAAAACAACGUCUCAGUUCAGACUGCAGGCUGCAACUCGCCUGCACGAAGUCGGAAUUGCUAGUAAUCGCGGAUCAGCAUGCCGCGGUGAAUACGUUCCCGGGCCUUGCACUCACCGCCCGUCA
rnacentral:rRNA from 1 species